UGAGGUCAGCCUCUGCAGGCCUGGGCAGGGCUCCUGAGAGUUUAGGGCGUAAGAGUUUUGGGGAGUUCCCAAAUCGGGCUGCGGACCCUCUGCCUGAGGCUUUGGUUUGAGCCCUGGAUCCGGACUUGUGUUUCCCCGGAAGGAUGGCGUCUCAGUCUUUCCUGAAGUUGGUGGGGUUUGGAUGUUAUUAUUAUUAUUAUCAGCAGUAGUAUUAUUAUUGUUGUUAUUAUUAUCGUUUUGAGGAUACACCGUGUAUAAGAAUUGGUGGUCCUGUGCAGGGUGCCAUGCAGAAUGCCAUGAGUUAGAAGUUGGAGGACGGAGGGCUUAGAGAUACUUGAGGGACGUCCUUAACCUACGUGAAAUGUUGGAGGUUGAGGUGAAAAAUAUGGCUUUGAUAUCUUCAUGGAAAACUGCAUUAUUUCAGUCCUGAAUCUGGUUCGGUUCCCUUAUUGACUCAUUACUAUAUUAAAAAUGUUUAUUUAGCAGUGAUUGUAAAAUGAAAGUAAUUAACAUGUACUUGUUUUUUGUGGGGAGACUAAGGGGAAACACGUGUUCAGCCUAGAAAAACAUUUCUCAUUGAAUUUCUUGUGAAGUCAGUGUGUCUUGGGUUUAACUUUGAAACAAAUUAAAAAAUUUUUAAAUUAAAAAAAAGUUUACUUAACUAUGGUAUUUGUUCUGGUAAAACCUUGUGGUUUAAUAAGAAUUUUUGCAAAUAUCCAUUAUACUCUUCUCAUGGUACAUAAAAGUGUUAAUAUUUUAAAAUCUAUAGGAUAUUCUAUUUCAAAAUUUAGUUCUAUUAUCUUAGUGCUAUCAGAAAAUGUGCUUUGAAUUGCUGAAAUGAGUUGUAUUGGACAACACCUGUCUCAGCAGAGGCACUUAAAAAUCAUUUUCAUGCUUCC